rfam:Glycine max cultivar Williams 82 chromosome 3, whole genome shotgun sequence.
GGGCUGUGAUGACUGAGAACAUUCCUCGAUCCUGAUAAGGACCAAAGCAAGUUGUUUGGUCUGUGAUGACAAUGUUUGUGCGUGUCUGAGCCUC